CUGAGAAUAUUCUCAUUUUUAUUUUUUAGUAAUCAGAACAAGCUAAGUAUUCAUGAUAAUAAGUUCAUGCUUGUGUCUCCAGACCUCCUUCUUUUCCUUACUAGGUCUGGUUUUAUAAAUGCUAGUGAUAUAU